UAUACUCUCAAGCCGAGAUGGUUUUAUAAAGUGAAAAACCUUUCGCAAAGGAUCCAACAUAACCCCUGUCUCUCCUUUUCUGUCCACUUUGUACACUUCACACAUGAUGUCGAAAAACCCAUACCAGGACAUAUCAAGGGCUGCACUACUCUGGUGUUAACUAGAAGUUUAGCAGGGCCUGCGUUGCUGAGAAUCUCAAUGACUUGACAGCUGCCCUGGCCUGCACUUUUCCGAAUUGGGGAACAAGCAGCCAUUAAGACUGGUGCUUCUCCAUAUUGAUUAAUGGGGCCGCUUGUCCUGGACUUCCAUCUGUCAUCAGGAGAACGCAACCAUCUGGAGCCAGAAUAGAUCAUCAAUCCUGCCACAUAUCCAAGUUCUUUUAAAAAAAUUUUAAAAACAGAAUACAACUGAGAAGUUAUUGUUAAACUCCUCUGCUGGUUCUAUCUGAUUUCUGUUAGGAUCCAU
ensembl:lncRNA